CCGUUCUCAGUUCGGAUCGGAGUCUGAAACCCGCCUCCAUGAAGUUGGAUUCGCUAGUAAUCGCGCAUCAGCCAUGGCGCGGUGAAUACGUUCCCGGGCCUUGUACACACCGCCCGUCAAGCCAUGGAAGCUGGGGGUGCCUGAAGUUCGUGACCGGAAGGAGCGACCUAGGGCAAAACUGGUGACUGGGGCUAAGUCGUAACAAGGUAUC
rnacentral:rRNA from 1 species